AACGAACGCUGGCGGCAUGCCUAACACAUGCAAGUCGAACGAGACCUUCGGGUCUAGUGGCGCACGGGUGCGUAACGCGUGGGAACCUGCCCUUAGGUUCGGAAUCACUCCCCGAAAGGGGUGCUAAUACAGGUUGAGGUCUUCGGACCAAAGAUUUUUCGCCUUUGGAUGGGCCCGCGUUGGCUUAGCUGGUUGGUAGGGUAAAAGCAUACCAAGGCGACGAUCCUUAGCUGGUGUGUGAGGAUGAUCAGCCACACUGGCACUGAGACACGGCCCAGACUGCUACGGGAGGCAGCAGUGGGGAAUAUUGGACGAGGGGCGAUGGCCUGAUCCAGCAAUGCCGCGUGAGUGAUGAAGGCCGUAGGGUUGUAAAGCUCUUUUACCCGAGAUGAUAAUGACAGUACCGGGAGAAUAAGCUCCGGCUAACUCCGUG
rnacentral:rRNA from 1 species